GGUUGGCACUCACCGCACACGGCGGGGUGAUUUCAAAAUAAUUGGAGCCGUGUGCCUUCUCAUAUUUCCAUAUUGAAGUGUGGGAAGUGAUAAAAUAAUUAACGUAAAUGCUACUUUUUUGAACUAAUAAUACAAUGACCUUUUCAGAGACAGGAAUAUAGUAAAGAAAACUGUGUGUCAAAACGGAAGGCUUCUUCUUCAACCGCGCUUACGAAGCUAGUACCAUUUCAAAGCUAUCUGCAGCGACUGACGACGCGAGCAUCACAGACGCAACGCACUUAACCACAUUGACCUCGCCCAUGUGUUUCUACACUCGAUUUGCACUUCGGAAUUUCAGUAUGAAGAUCAUCUUGAUGUAGAACACAUGGUUGAAGUUCACGCUCAGAUUGUGCAUCUCAACUAGUUGUCUACGCAGCCAACACAAGCAUCUCAGGACUACAUUCUGUGGACCCAAACGUAAGGACUGGCAUCAGAUUUCACCGAGGGCAUGGCGAGGAGACUACACGGCUUAAUAAUGGUGGUCCCAGACAUGCAGCAGCAGCGUACGACCUAAACAAAGUCUUCAUACGUGGUUCAAACACAAUCCCUGUAGUCAGCGCUACGUGACUUCGACGACACCUGGACAUGUCGCAUCACAGAAACACCGUUCUGUUAUCGCGGACCAAUCAUCUGCGCAAUCUGCGCCAUCACUCGGAGAUGCCUUGGAGUGAACGUCUCGCCUUCGACAGAUUGACGAUUCGGCGGCGCCGGCGCCUAGUGAACAACUCGCUCAACUCGUGGGCCGCAUGCCGUCAAUUGGUAUUAUUUACGAUUCUAAUAUUGUUACAGCAAGUUUAUAAU